rnacentral:rRNA from 1 species
AGCGAACGGACGAGAAGCUUGCUUCUCUGAUGUUAGCGGCGGACGGGUGAGUAACACGUGGAUAACCUACCUAUAAGACUGGGAUAACUUCGGGAAACCGGAGCUAAUACCGGAUAAUAUUUUGAACCGCAUGGUUCAAAAGUGAAAGACGGUCUUGCUGUCACUUAUAGAUGGAUCCGCGCUGCAUUAGCUAGUUGGUAAGGUAACGGCUUACCAAGGCAACGAUGCAUAGCCGACCUGAGAGGGUGAUCGGCCACACUGGAACUGAGACACGGUCCAGACUCCUACGGGAGGCAGCAGUAGGGAAUCUUCCGCAAUGGGCGAAAGCCUGACGGAGCAACGCCGCGUGAGUGAUGAAGGUCUUCGGAUCGUAAAACUCUGUUAUUAGGGAAGAACAUAUGUGUAAGUAACUGUGCACAUCUUGACGGUACCUAAUCAGAAAGCCACGGCUAACUACGUGCCAGCAGCCGCGGUAAUACGUAGGUGGCAAGCGUUAUCCGGAAUUAUUGGGCGUAAAGCGCGCGUAGGCGGUUUUUUAAGUCUGAUGUGAAAGCCCACGGCUCAACCGUGGAGGGUCAUUGGAAACUGGAAAACUUGAGUGCAGAAGAGGAAAGUGGAAUUCCAUGUGUAGCGGUGAAAUGCGCAGAGAUAUGGAGGAACACCAGUGGCGAAGGCGACUUUCUGGUCUGUAACUGACGCUGAUGUGCGAAAGCGUGGGGAUCAAACAGGAUUAGAUACCCUGGUAGUCCACGCCGUAAACGAUGAGUGCUAAGUGUUAGGGGGUUUCCGCCCCUUAGUGCUGCAGCUAACGCAUUAAGCACUCCGCCUGGGGAGUACGACCGCAAGGUUGAAACUCAAAGGAAUUGACGGGGACCCGCACAAGCGGUGGAGCAUGUGGUUUAAUUCGAAGCAACGCGAAGAACCUUACCAAAUCUUGACAUCCUUUGACAACUCUAGAGAUAGAGCCUUCCCCUUCGGGGGACAAAGUGACAGGUGGUGCAUGGUUGUCGUCAGCUCGUGUCGUGAGAUGUUGGGUUAAGUCCCGCAACGAGCGCAACCCUUAAGCUUAGUUGCCAUCAUUAAGUUGGGCACUCUAAGUUGACUGCCGGUGACAAACCGGAGGAAGGUGGGGAUGACGUCAAAUCAUCAUGCCCCUUAUGAUUUGGGCUACACACGUGCUACAAUGGACAAUACAAAGGGCAGCGAAACCGCGAGGUCAAGCAAAUCCCAUAAAGUUGUUCUCAGUUCGGAUUGUAGUCUGCAACUCGACUACAUGAAGCUGGAAUCGCUAGUAAUCGUAGAUCAGCAUGCUACGGUGAAUACGUUCCCGGGUCUUGUACACACCGCCCGUCACACCACGAGAGUUUGUAACACCCGAAGCCGGUGGAGUAACCUUUUAGGAGCUAGCCGUCGAAGGUGGGACAAAUGAUUGGGGUGAAGUCGUAACAAGGUAGCCGUAUCGGAAGGUGCGGCUG